AUGGAGGCUUUAUCUUUCUAUGAUGUGAAUAUGAAGCUGAGAUCAUCAGUUGGGAAGGAGGAGAAGGCAUUGCCGUAUCUAUUGUUAUCUACAGGGUGGUCCAGGAUUUGAAGGUCCAAGGCCUAGGGAAGCUGGUGAAGAAGAGGAACAGGCUUGUCAACCCCCUUUGACGUCUUCCUCUAUGCUUCAGCAGAGGAUUUAGCUGAUUACUUGGUUCACUGUCGAGCGGAUAAUAUAGUUAAAAGAUGCUGAGUUUAUUAGAGUUCUGUCUUGUUCCUUAAUGCUGAUCCUUGGACAAUUCUGGGUCAGGUAGUUUGUCUCUGUGUUGUUGUCUACUACUCGCUCUGCAGAGUUUUGCUGUGCACUUACUUGGCUCAAUCUGAAGGCGGAGGGGUGUGGAGAAAGUACCAAAACAUUUUCUAAUUCAACUGACCAGUUUGGUUUAGUUAACUCUGUCUUUGUUUCUUUGUCUUGAGGUACCUCUUCCAUCAGGAAGCAUCCUCACUCCCAAAGGGUCUUCAAACUCUUGGAGUAUGAUGUUCAGGUUGAUGAGAUUCAAUAAAAAGAUUCAUGCCGUUGAAGCCAUAUCAAAGCUGCUGCAGAUCUCAUGGCCAAGUAAAAGGAUUCGCCUCCAUUAUAUGAUGUUUCUUCAUUGAAAACUAAAAAGGCGCCUGUUGCUGCGGUGGUGUACUAUGAAGAUAUGUUUGUAAACUUCAAGCUAGUGAUGGAAACAGCUUCUCAAAUUUCGGGUAUUAGGCUUUUUUACUCGGGUCUUUCAUGAUGCUGGAAGACAAGUUAUUGAUCAAUGUGGAAGGAUCUCUGUUUCUAUCAUUUGUAGUAGUCACUGCACAUUUGGUUUUCUUCUUUAUACGCU